AUGAACGCUAGCUACAGGCUUAACACAUGCAAGUCGAGGGGCAGCAUGAACUUAGCUUGCUAAGUUUGAUGGCGACCGGCGCACGGGUGAGUAACACGUAUCCAACCUGCCGAUGACUCGGGGAUAGCCUUUCGAAAGAAAGAUUAAUACCCGAUGGCAUAGUUCUUCCGCAUGGUAGAACUAUUAAAGAAUUUCGGUCAUCGAUGGGGAUGCGUUCCAUUAGGUUGUUGGCGGGGUAACGGCCCACCAAGCCUUCGAUGGAUAGGGGUUCUGAGAGGAAGGUCCCCCACAUUGGAACUGAGACACGGUCCAAACUCCUACGGGAGGCAGCAGUGAGGAAUAUUGGUCAAUGGACGAGAGUCUGAACCAGCCAAGUAGCGUGAAGGAUGACUGCCCUAUGGGUUGUAAACUUCUUUUAUACGGGAAUAAAGUGAGGCACGUGUGCCUUUUUGUAUGUACCGUAUGAAUAAGGAUCGGCUAACUCCGUGCCAGCAGCCGCGGUAAUACGGAGGAUCCGAGCGUUAUCCGGAUUUAUUGGGUUUAAAGGGAGCGUAGGCGGACGCUUAAGUCAGUUGUGAAAGUUUGCGGCUCAACCGUAAAAUUGCAGUUGAUACUGGGUGUCUUGAGUACAGUAGAGGCAGGCGGAAUUCGUGGUGUAGCGGUGAAAUGCUUAGAUAUCACGAAGAACUCCGAUUGCGAAGGCAGCUUGCUGGACUGUAACUGACGCUGAUGCUCGAAAGUGUGGGUAUCAAACAGGAUUAGAUACCCUGGUAGUCCACACAGUAAACGAUGAAUACUCGCUGUUUGCGAUAUACAGUAAGCGGCCAAGCGAAAGCGUUAAGUAUUCCACCUGGGGAGUACGCCGGCAACUGUGAAACUCAAAUGAAUUGACGGGGGCCCGCACAAGCGGAGGAACAUGUGGUUUAAUUCGAUUAUACGCGAGGAACCUUACCCGGGCUUGAAUUGCAACUGAAUGAUGUGGAGACAUGUCAGCCGCAAGGCAGUUGUGAAGGUGCUGCAUGGUUGUCGUCAGCUCGUGCCGUGAGGUGUCGGCUUAAGUGCCAUAACGAGCGCAACCCUUAUCGAUAGUUACCAUCAGGUUAUGCUGGGGACUCUGUCGAGACUGCCGUCGUAAGAUGUGAGGAAGGUGGGGAUGACGUCAAAUCAGCACGGCCCUUACGUCCGGGGCUACACACGUGUUACAAUGGGCGGUACAGAAAGCAGCUACCCCGCGAGGGGAUGCCAAUCUCAAAAACCGUUCUCAGUUCGGACUGGAGUCUGCAACCCGACUCCACGAAGCUGGAUUCGCUAGUAAUCGCGCAUCAGCCAUGGCGCGGUGAAUACGUUCCCGGGCCUUGUACACACCGCCCGUCACACCAUGAGAGCCGGGGGGACCCGAAGUCGAUAGUCUAACCGCAAGGAGGACGUCGCCGAAGGUAAAACUGGUGAUUGGGGUG
rnacentral:rRNA from 1 species